CUUUCUCCAUUUGGUUUCUCAUUUUGGGACGACGUCGUAGGUUUAUUCUAAGGUCAUUCAUUCUUUACAUUGGUUUGUUAUCAUUGGGACGCCCCCUAGGCGAUAUCUCAGCUUAAUUGUUUGUUUCUUUAAUUUGUCAUCGUUUGGACACCAUCUAGGUUUUAUGGAAUUUAAGUCUUUCUCUCAUUGGUUUCUCAUCUUUGGGACGACAUCGUAGGUUCUAUCUAAGGUCAUUCAUUCUUUC
rnacentral:lncRNA from 1 species